UUGAUUUUGUUCUGUGAUUCGUUCUGUACCAUGAGUUGUUUCGGUUGUGUAAAAAUUGACUGAACCUUGAAGUGGAUCAGUCGUAUCGUUAUUGGGCCGAUGCCUCGACCCCGAUAUCCUAUUCCUUCGCCCGUUUAGCUGCAGCCCAGCCCGUAGAGAAAAGUCGCUCUCUCUGUCGUCUCUUCUUCUGCUUCACUCCUCUUCUCCUCUCUUAUCCACUCUCUUCGCUGCUCUUUGCCCCCAUUGCCCCCCACCUCUGACCGUGGAGGCUUUGUGCUUCAUUGCCCCCCCAAUUCAUUUCUUUUUUCUGUAUGAUUCAUUUGCUAUUUUAAGUCAUUCAUUUGUUGUUUCUGUUGAUAUCUAUUUUGCAGGGAUUUCGAGGUGUCACUGGUUAGGGUUUUCUCUGCUUGCUGUGAGGUCUGCUAGGGGAGGCUUUAGUUUUCCCAAGGGUUUAUGUCCCAAGGUCUUGAAGAUAUCAACAGUGACAAGAGCCCAGCUUCGAGUUCCUUUUGUUCCAUCGGACAUCGUGGUGUUCUGUGUAGUCCCCACUACACUCCUGGUGGUGAUGCUAGUGGAUCUGGUGGUGAUGCUGGUGCUGCUGCGGCUUCCUGCUCUGUUUGAAGCGUCACAGUGCAUUCUUCCAAUCUUUGAAGAUAAGUUGGAAUUCAAGGUAGAAAAUAUUUUGUGGAAUGCCACUUCCUAUAGGUAUUUUGGUCGUUUAUAGUUUCUUAAAAUUCAUAUUUUUUGCAAUGCUCAUUACUGAUUGUCUUCAUAGUUACUUCCCAUAGUAAUGUUAACGUUCCUUCUUUGUUUUCUCCCAUGUCUCUUUUCUGACAUCUGUGCAACAUGUAAUGUUAUGAUAGUGCCACAACCUGAGCAAGUGAUUUUCCCUUGGCGACAACUUUCUCCACUAAUCCUUUCUGCUAGUUAUCCAUUUGUACAACUCUUUGGACGUGCAAAUGCAAUAUUCAGACUUCUUAGUUUUAUAAUUUUGUUUUUCAAAAUUAUUAUAUUCCAACCAUAACAAUGGUUUUUCAUGUUGAUAGCAACUUUAGCAUGCAAAUCUAAUUCCUUACAUUAUAGUCAUUGUUGAUGCUUACCUUGUGUUUUUGUUGGUUGUAUCAUGAGAAUGCACUUGCUGAUAUUCCUGUUGUGUAAUUUUUGGCACCUACAUAAGCAAUUUCAGAUUAUUAGUUAUUUUUUGGGUAACUUAAACUAGAGUUUUGAAACUUCUGCCUCUGCAUCCAUUUUUAUUCAGUGUUCCUCACCUUGUUGACAGUAUGGUCUGCUCCACCAUGAAGUUGUUGUUGCUCAUAAUGAAGUUGUGCAACUUCUGUAGGUUGCAUAUGCAAUUAUCUUUUUAAUAUCUUGAUAUGACAUGAAAGCAUAGUACUAAUUGAUGCAAUGGUAGCAUAAUGACUUCCAUGGUGUCGCAGCAGCGCUGUUCCUUCUGAUUUUGAAUCUCUGUAUCCUGCAAAUGCAAUUUCGAUAUAAUUAGUGUCAUCAUGUGGAAGUUAAUCGUAAUGCUAAUGGCUGGCAGCCAUGACAACCAAAACAGUGGCUAUUGCAAUUGUCUGCUGACGCAACAGUGGUGUCUGUCAGCAAGAUUUUAUACCCUGUUCAUCUCCUUGUUGAUAAUAUGUUUUGCUACUGCAUGUUGGUGUUGUUGCUGAUACUUAUUCUGUGCAACUUCUUUAUCGUGCAUCAGCAAUUAAGAUAACCAGAUUCAUUAGCAAUAUGUUUUUCCAUAGUUAACAACUGGAUACUGUAAUAGGAAUGGUUGCUACGGCAACAAAAUUUGUGUCUACACUUAUGUUUAUGAUUUCGAUUUUUAUCUUCAGGAAGGGUAAUAGGCUUCCCAAAAUUCAUUCAUCUAUAGAAAAACUUCAUUAUAUUCUUUCUUUUGCAUUUGGAAGGGUAAUAGGCUUCCCAAAAUUCAUUCAACUAUAGAAAAACUUCAUUCUAUUCUAUCUUUUGCAUUGGGAAGGGUAACAUGCUUCCCAAAAUUAAUUCCUCUAUAAAAAACUUAAUUCUAUUAUGUCAUUUGCUUUUGCAUUUUAUCUUUAUCUAUUGAUUUUAGUUUAUGUUUAGUUUAUGCUUAGUUUCUUCAGACUAUGUAGUAGGUUCCGACUUUGAUGAAGUACCUGAAGUUUUCUAUGUUGUCCUUGAUGAGGAAUGCUUCAGGAGGAUGAUGAGUUGUAUUAAUCAUUUCUUUUAUAGUUUGACUUAUUUUGUAGAUAUCAAUCUAUGUGUAUGUGUUUACUUAGCCACUGCAUUUUUUCAUGGCUAAUAUGAAACCUGUGUAUUUUAGGUGUUGUUCCCCAUCCUAUGUCUUGAUUGUCUUUGUAAUUAGUUAUAUAGAUGGAACUAUAAUUUGUCUUUCCAUGAUCUAAAUCCAGUUGACAUUGAUCAAUUAUGCAAGUAUAAUUAUAAUCGUGAAUACAGUGAGGUACUCUGUAUUACAUAUAGCUUGAAUUCUUUUGUACAUAUCAAUGUAUCUGCUUCCAAUAAAACCUAAAUCAGCAUAUCAACAAGGCUAAUAUGAAUCUUGCUGUUGUAAAAUGUGUGCAAGUUUAGUAUGAUUAACAUGCAAUUUUUAUUUGUAGUCUUUGAAUUUAUGAAUUAGGCUUUUGCUGUAAUUAUAGUUGUACUCAUAGUCAUGCUCAUGCAUUUUAUUACUUGCAGUAAUGAGAAUGCAAUAAUUAGGUUUAGGUAGAUUUUUGCAAGUACAUCGAUCCUUUCUCUUUUGAAGUUGUUUUCUAUAUUUCUUGGGUUUUUUUUUGCGUUGACUUGUUCUUGUUAUGGCUAUCUCUCUGAAUAUGCAAAUUUAAUUCUAACAUAGACAACUUCUUUAGGGAGCUGUACUGCCGAAACUUUUAGUUUGACAACUUCUUUAGCCCUAGAUGUGAUAGUUAUAUUUCUGUAAGUAUGUAUGCAUGCUUGUAUUUAUAGUUCUUGCGUGUUGCUGUUGAAGAACAAGUGAAAGUUUAGUUCUCUGAAUAUGCAAAUUCAAAAUUCUGCCAUGAGGGUGUUGUUCUGAUUUUACUUGUAGUUAAAUAAUUUCUAGCACAAGCAGGUCAAGAUGUUGUAGUAUGCAUGCUCAUAGUAUAGUUCUUCUAUAUUGCUACUCAACAACAACUGCAAGCUUAGUUUUCUGAAUAUGUAAAUUUAGUUAGUUCAUGGAUAUUUUAGAUUCUGGCUUCAGGGAGGUGUUCAGCCUUAACUGUAGUUUAACAAUUUUUCUAGUAUAACUAGGUGAUUUUUAUACAUAUCUAUGCAUGCUCACACUACACUUCUUUGUAUGUUGCUUUUGAUCAACAACUGCAAGUUUCCCCGCAAAAAAAAACAACAACUGCAAGUUUAGUUUUCUGAUUGUGCAAAUUCAGUAUGUGCAUGCAAUUUUUAGAUUAUGCCUGCAGGUAGGUGUUCUGCCUUGACUAUAGUUAAACAUUUUGUAGUACAAAUAGGUGAAAAUGGUCAAAAUGCUGUGGUUAUCUUUUUGUACAUAUGUAUGCGUGCUAGUACUAUACUUUAUUGUAUGUUACUUUUGGUCAAAAACUGCAAAUUUAGUUAUCUGAAUAUGCAAAUUCAGUAUAUGCAUGGAAAUUUUAGAUUCUGAUUUCAGGAUGGUGUUCUGCUUUAACUGUAGUUAAACAAUUUGUAGUACAACUAGGUGAAGAUCUUGUGGUUAUCUUUUUGUACAUAUGUAUGCAUGCUAGCACUAUACUUCUUUGUAUGUUGCUUUUGGUCAACAACUGCAAGUUUAGUUCUCUGAAUAUGCAAAUUCAAUUCCUUCUUGGAAUUUUUAAAUUCUGCCUUUAGGGAGGUGUUCUGUUUUUAAAUUCUGAAUAUGUCAGGUCGUCACAUAAGAUGCAGCAGCAAAAUCAAAACACAGAAGGCAGAAGAUGGCAAGAGAAUUUUCAAGAUAUCAAAAAAUCAAAAUCAAAACACCAAAUUGUCAGGUUGUCACAUAUUGUCAGGCCCUUUUUUUUGGGCUGGACAGAAGGCAAAAGAGGGCAAGAGAAUUUUUUCAGCCAGUUUGGUUGUUGGGCUGAUUGACUGACCCUAACUUUGGGUCAGUCAGUUUUCUUCUGUCCUCUUUUCUUUUCCUUUGUUGUAGUAAUCAACUGACCACAUUCUACAAUCAGUCGAUUGACCUGUAGCCGCUCCUUGCAAAUUACCCUAUAUCAUAAGAAAAAAAUACUAUGUUAAAAAAUGGUUGAUUUGCAUUAUAAAUCAUGCUGACUGGGUACUUGAAACUAUAUAUGAAUGUAGCCGAAUACACGUUCAAAUUUGAUUUUGUUUACAAUACUUCACUAAAUGUUCAAGCUUGUGGGACAAUGUCCUGGUCUCAAUCAAAUGACUCACCUGUCCUAAAAUAUGGGCAUAGUGAUAGCAAAUCAUGG